UCACAUCUGAUGUAACCCAUUGAGUAGGCAUUACCUAAUCAGGCCAUCAAAGGUAAACGCAUGCACAGUUCAAUGUUUGAUUCUAUAAUACCACCAUGGAUGCAUCUCAAUAGUAUUCCCUUGAUUCCUCGCAUCCUCUUUCCUAGCCUCAAACUGCAUUGGAGGCAAGGAGAGAGGACGCGAGGAAUCAAGAGAAUAUUGAGAUUCUCCCACUAUGAUCCCAAUUCAUGGUUUCCUGAAAGGAGUGGAAGAUGUGACAGGGUCAGUGUACAGCCUACUUCGCUGUAGUAACGGUACCUUGGCAACCGCAGAGUAAAUGGGUGAUUAUUUAAAGCGCUGGUAGUGGAUCCCUCCCUCUCAGGUUUCAUACAGGUUGUUGGAUUCCAUCCCCCCUCACUGGAUCUGCAGCAUAUCAACAGGCGGGAGAAGUUAGCUUCUAACUGACUGACUGAGGCCUCACGUCCCCCAUCUGAGAUAUCUACUGCAGCCCUCAUCCUCCACAUACAACACCCGUUCUGCAAGGCACAUUCUGUUAAAGGUCCUCAAAACACACACAUUCCUGGGUCGCUCAUCUUUUCUGUUCGCUGCAGCUAGCGACUGGAACGAGCUGCAACAAACACUCAAACUGGACAGUUUUUUUUUCUCAUUCUAUUCAUUCAAAGACUCAAUCAUGGACACUUACUGACAGUUGUGGCUGCUUUGUGUGAUGUAUUGUUGUCUCUACCUUCUUGCCCUUUGUGCUGUUGUCUGUACCCAAUAAUGUUUGUACCCUGUUGUGCUGCUACCAUAUUGUGUUGCUACCAUGUUGUUGUCAUGUUGUGUUUCUACCAUGCUGUGUUGUCAUGUGUUGCUGCCAUGCUUGGUUGUCUUAGGUCUCUCUUUAUGUAGUGUUGUGUUGUCUCUCUUGUCAUGAUGUGUGUUUUGUCCUAUAUUGUUAUUACAUUUAUUUGUAUUUUUAAUUCCAGUCCCCGUCCCCACAAGGAGGCCUUUUGCCUUUUGGUAGACCGUCAUUGUAAAUAAGAAUUUGUUCGUAACUGACAUGCCUAGUGAGUCAGUUAAGAACAUAUUCUUAUUUACAAUGACGGCCCCAGGUGGUGAAGGUAGGAAACAACAUCUCAACUUCUCUGACCCUCAACACUGGGGCCCCACAAGGGUGUGUGCUCAGGCCUCUCCUGUACUCCCUGUUCACCCACGACUGCGUGGCCAUGCACUCCUCCAACUCAAUCAUCAAGUUUGCAGACGACACAACAGUAGUGGGCCUGAUCACCAACAAAGACGAGACGGCCUACAGGGAGGAGGUGAGGGCACUCGGAGUGUGCUGUCAGGAAAACAACCUCUCACUCAACGUCAACAAAACAGAGGAGAUGAUCGUGGUCUUCAGGAAACAGCAGAGGGAGCACCCCCUAUCCUCAUCAAAGAGACAGCAGUGGAGAAGGCAUAACGUUUUAAGUUCCUCGGUGUACAUAUCACAGACAAACUGAAAUGGUCCACCCACACAGACAGUGUGGUGAAGAAGGCUCAACAGUGCCUCUUCAACCUCGGGUGCCUGAAGAAAUUUGGCUUGUCACCCACCCAAAACCCUGACAAACUUUUACAGAUGCACAUUGUUUGUUCAUUUAUAAGUAAUUUCAAGGUUUAUGUAAGUUGAACAUUAGGAAGCUAUUGUUCCAGACAGGAGACUGUUAGAUUCUGGGUGAAACCUGGAACAUUGUUAUACUCAUAAGGAUAGUGUCUAACAGUGAACGAGACUGGUUUUUACAUCAGAAGUUAAUGGUUAUCUGUAGGAGUUAGAUGGCUUUGGAGAGUGUAGGGGAGACGGGUGGAAAUCUUAGAACCUAACAAUGUCACUGAGGGAGAGAGGGUAAUGUAUAGCAUUUACAUUAUGUCAGGAUAUGUUAUUGUUAGCCAUCAGGGAUCCUCUAGGAGGAGAGGAGACACAGUCUGGUAUCAAUAACCAUGACAGCCUUGAGUUGGGGAGGAGUGAGCACUUUGGGCUAGAGGUCAGGUUAGAUGAAGUGAGGAACAACAGAUAUCACUAAGGUUCUGUCUAGCAACAGAGAUACAAUGGUCUGUUCAGUUGUGGAGGAGACUCAACCUAGGAGAAAGGGUUAAAUAUCAGUGCUUGUGUGAAAUGUCGUUUGUCUGAAUGCAGCUGUAUCGACCCUUUGGGAAGAAUUAAAGUUGUUUAAGCUUU
rnacentral:lncRNA from 1 species